GGACAUAUGGCCGAGUGGUCUAAGGCGCUGUGUUUAGGUUGUGCUGCAACAGAAUCCGCAGUCUUCGGGCGUGGGUUCGAAUCCCACUGUGUUCA
rnacentral:tRNA from 1 species